rnacentral:rRNA from 1 species
UACAUGCAAGUCGAGCGGAAUGAUGAAGAAGCUUGCUUCUUCUGAUUUUAGCGGCGGACGGGUGAGUAACACGUGGGCAACCUACCUUGUAGAUUGGGAUAACUCCGGGAAACCGGGACUAAUACCGAAUAAUCCAUUUUGCUUCAUGGCGAGAUGUUGAAAGACGGUUUCGGCUGUCACUCAAGAUGGGCCCGCGGCGCAUUAGCUAGUUGGUAGGGUAAUGGCCUACCAAGGCGACGAUGCGUAGCCGACCUGAGAGGGUGAUCGGCCACACUGGGACUGAGACACGGCCCAGACUCCUACGGGAGGCAGCAGUAGGGAAUCUUCCACAAUGGACGAAAGUCUGAUGGAGCAACGCCGCGUGAGUGAAGAAGGUUUUCGGAUCGUAAAACUCUGUUGUAAGGGAAGAACACGUACGAGAGUAACUGCUCGUACCUUGACGGUACCUUAUUAGAAAGCCACGGCUAACUACGUG